UACGUAGGUGGCAAGCGUUAUCCGGAUUUAUUGGGCGUAAAGGGAACGCAGGCGGUCUUUUAAGUCUGAUGUGAAAGCCUUCGGCUUAACCGGAGUAGUGCAUUGGAAACUGGGAGACUUGAGUGCAGAAGAGGAGAGUGGAACUCCAUGUGUAGCGGUGAAAUGCGUAGAUAUAUGGAAGAACACCAGUGGCGUAGGCGGCUCUCUGGUCUGCAACUGACGCUGAGGCUCGAAAGCAUGGGUAGCGAACAGG
rnacentral:rRNA from 1 species